GAUGGCUCAGGAUGAACGCUAGCUACAGGCUUAACACAUGCAAGUCGAGGGGCAGCGGGAUUGAAGCUUGCUUCAAUUGCCGGCGACCGGCGCACGGGUGAGUAACGCGUAUCCAACCUUCCGUACACUCAGGGAUAGCCUUUCGAAAGAAAGAUUAAUACCUGAUGGUAUGAUGAGAUUGCAUGAUAGCAUCAUUAAAGAUUUAUCGGUGUACGAUGGGGAUGCGUU
rnacentral:rRNA from 1 species